rnacentral:lncRNA from 1 species
GUUUGAAUGUGCAGCAACAAGAACCCGGCCUUCCCUGCCCUGGUGCUUCCCAGGGCAGGAGACCGGGACCCCUUCCUGGAGAAGAGGGGAGACACAGAUAUCAUCUCAUCUCUGGGGUCUCCAGUGAUAAGACACACAGGGACCACCCAGCCCUCCAGAGCAGCCACUGCUGCAAACCCACCUCACCUGCGGUCCACGCUAGGAGGGGACACUGAAGUCCCAGGGGGAAUCUGACACCCCUCAGGGCUGGCGAGAGGCUCCCUCUGCCCAGUCCCCCUCCUCUUCCUGCUGCAGUGUCCAGCCCUGACACACGGUUUCUGUCCCAAACUCCAUCUUGGAUUGGCUUUGGGGAGCCAGAGUGGUGACAAGACCUGGCACUGGAAUCCACUCUGGAUGCCCAGCUGAGGCAGGGGCCCUGGGCACACUGCAUUUGUCACUGGGGGUGAGCUGGGACAUAGGGGAGUGGUCAGGAGGCUGCUGCCAAGCACUGCUCCAAAUGGUAAGGGGAGGGAAAUUCCUGAGCGCUGGAAGCCAAGUGCGUCAGGGGCCUCCUGGUCACGGUUUCUCUGCCUCCACCUCCUGCAGGAGGGGAGAGCAGCAGAGCCCCACCCGUGGCUUCAGCUGGAGUGGGACCCAAGGUCAAGGUCAGGUCUUGGUGGGGCAUCCAGGUGGCUGUCCCCCACGGAUUGAUCCCCAGGCCCCUCUGAUUGCUUGCCUCUCCCUGAAGAGCUGAUGCCCUCCCAAGGCUGGAACAACAUCAGUUCCCCCCGAGCCCACCCUGGUAGCUGUAGGCUGUCAAAGAAGGUUAAGCUGCUAUACCACCCGGCGGGGAAUGAGCUGCCGACACACCUGGACGGCAUUCCACGCACCUGGAUGGCACAUGGGAGUGGGAUUCUGCAUGCACACCCGCAUACCAACAGGCACCAGCAG